rnacentral:rRNA from 1 species
CAGCAGCCGCGGUAAUACGAAGGGGGCCAGCGUUGCUCGGAAUCACUGGGCGUAAAGGGUGCGUAGGCGGGUCUUUAAGUCAGGGGUGAAAUCCUGGAGCUCAACUCCAGAACUGCCUUUGAUACUGAAGAUCUUGAGUUCGGGAGAGGUGAGUGGAACUGCGAGUGUAGAGGUGAAAUUCGUAGAUAUUCGCAAGAACACCAGUGGCGAAGGCGGCUCACUGGCCCGAUACUGACGCUGAGGCACGAAAGCGUGGGGAGCAAACAGGAUUAGAUACCCCAGUAGUCCCUGUCUCUUAUAC